UUCGUGAACGACCAGGAGAAGGGCUCCCAUGGAGCAAACCCUAAUUCACACUAAAAGAUUAAAUUGAAGCUCAAAUCAAGACCCAAAUCAAUGCAUGAACAUGUAUAAAUGAUCACCUAGUCAAGGGGAUCAUAAGUUGACGCUUAACAAGCUAGAUGGAAGCUUGGGAAGGAAGCGGGUCAAACGGAUGGAGCACGCGGAAAAGAAUAACCAGAUGCAAGUGUUACAAAUACAGGCAAGCGGAAAGUAUGAGCAUGUUUUGCCAAGGUUGGCGAAAGGAAUGUCUUAUGGAACUCCGGAUGAGGAUCAAGCAAGAAAGGAGAACCGAACACAUGUCUCGAAGCUUCCGCAACGAUCUUAUUUUGUUCUAGUUUAAAAAGUGGAUAUUGUAAACACUUGAAAUUAUAUUUUGGAAUGUUUUAAAUUAUGUAAAAAGUUUAACUUGGAAAA